UGACCGGCCUGCGAUUUAGACGGCGCCCGCGGCGUGACGUCACCAGGCACCUGACGUCACGCGUCGCGUGUUCUCACCGCGGAGUUGACACCACAGUGAGCAUGCAGCACACCACAGUGAGCAUACAGCACACCACAUUGAGCAUGCAGCACACCAGUCAGCAUGCAUCACACCACAGUGAGCAUGCAGCACACCACAGUGAGCAUACAGCACACCACAGUGAACAUGCAGCACACCAGUCAGCAUGCAGCACACCACAGUGAGCAUGCAGCACAUCACAUCGAGCAUGCAUCACAUCACAUAUGCAUCCCACCAGUGAGCAUGCAGCACACCACAGUGAGCAUGCAGCACAACACAAUCAUGCAGCACACCACAGCGAGCAUGCAGCACACCACAGCGAGCAUGCAGCACACCACAUCGAACAUGCAGCACACCACAGUGAGCAUGCAGCACACCGGUCAGCAUGCAUCACACCACAGUGAGCAUGCAGCACACCACAGUGAGCAUACAGCACACCACAGUGAACAUGCAGCACACCAGUCAGCAUGCAGCACACCACAGUGAGCAUGCAGCACAUCACAUCGAGCAUGCAUCACAUCACAUAUGCAUCCCACCAGUGAGCAUGCAGCACACCACAGUGAGCAUGCAGCACAACACAAUCAUGCAGCACACCACAGCGAGCAUGCAGCACACCACAGCGAGCAUGCAGCACACCACAUCGAACAUGCAGCACACCACAGUGAGCAUGCAUCACACCAGUCAGCAUGCAUCACACCAGUCAGCAUGCAUCACACCACAGCGAGCAUGCAUCACACCACAGUCGGCAUGCACCAAACCACGGUCGCCCAGGAGAUGGCGCAGGCAUCCACGCUGGAGAGGUCAACCCCGCAGAUGCUCGCACUGCCCUCAGCUGCUCCCAUUGUGACCUGGCCCCCAAAAGCAGGGUGCCAGAGGUACACUCGUAUGGCACAACUCAUCCACGCAGGGUGAAGAUGCCCUCGCUCCCACAACAAGAUAGGUCCUCGCUCCACACGACCAUGGAAACCUGCUGAGGUGCUGUGCAGGGUGUGCCGAUGCCCUCCGUCUAGCCCACCUGCUGUGACACCUCCACAUCCCCCUUUUCUGCGUCCGGUUGCAUCGUCUGGAGCGCAGAGCACGGGCUCCCCUUGCCCUGCGGAUUGGCAUCAUGUAGCUCCUGACAAGACGAGCAAGCACACACACACAUCCCCCGUACUGCCAUCUCUCCUUCUCCACGGAGCGUUGGAUGUCAUGCACAUCAGCUGCCCGAGCCGUUCUCACCGCUCGCCAUCGACUCGCCUGUCAACGCUGCCGACACCGUGGAGCGCAAAGGAGAUCGCGUGCUCUUAGCUCUCUGCCCCCACUGGACAUCUGUGAAAAAGAGCUUCUUAGCUUAUCGGAUUCCUCCAGUCUCAAUAAAGAUGUUGAUUCCGA